rnacentral:lncRNA from 10 species
AAGCAGUCAGCAGUGAGCAGGGGAGGAGGCCAGGGCUGCUGGGGGUCGGCGCUGAGGAAGCCAGGAUUUUCCGAGGGGCCAAUGCCGGGAGCCACGCCAACGCCAGGAGCCACACCAACUCCAGGAGCCACGCCAACUCCAGGAGCCAAGCCAACUCCAGGAGCCACACCGACACCAGGAGCCACGCCAACUCCAGGAGCCACGCCGACACCAGGAACUAACCCUGCAAGAUUGAGAAGAGCUGAUCAUUAACCAAGACCUGAUCAAAGAGGACAGAAGCUUAUGGAAAGAGGGCUGGAGCCUCGGCCCUGGCAUAGAUUUGCUGUGUGACCCUGGAUCAGUUACUUUCCCUUGCUGGGCCUCAGCUUCCUCCUCCCUAAUAUGAAGUGUGUGCAGGCUCAGGAGUUCAUAACUUUGUUUUUUUGGAGACAGAGUCUCACUCUAUCGCCCAGGCUGGAGUGCAAUGGCGUGAUCUCGACUCACUGCAACCACCACCUCCCGAGUUCAAGUGAGUCUCCUGCCUCAGCCUCCUGA